rnacentral:rRNA from 1 species
GACGAACGCUGGCGGCGUGCUUAACACAUGCAAGUCGAGCGGUAAGGCCCUUUCGGGGGUACACGAGCGGCGAACGGGUGAGUAACACGUGGGUGACCUGCCCUCAGCUCUGGGAUAAGCCCGGGAAACUGGGUCUAAUACCGGAUAUGACUUCAUGACGCAUGUUGUGGAGUGGAAAGCCUUGUGCGGCUGAGGAUGGGCCCGCGGCCUAUCAGCUUGUUGGGGGGUGAUGGCCUACCAAGGCGACGACGGGUAGCCGGCCUGAGAGGGCGACCGGCCACACUGGGACUGAGAUACGGCCAGACUCUACGGGAGGCAGCAGUGGGAAUCUUGCGCAAUGGGCGAAAGCCUGACGCAGCGACGCCGCGUGAGGGAUGAC